AGUGAACGCUGGCGGUAGGCCUAACACAUGCAAGUCGAACGGCAGCACAGUAAGAGCUUGCUCUUACGGGUGGCGAGUGGCGGACGGGUGAGGAAUACAUCGGAAUCUACCUUUUCGUGGGGGAUAACGUAGGGAAACUUACGCUAAUACCGCAUACGACCUACGGGUGAAAGCAGGGGAUCUUCGGACCUUGCGCGAUUGAAUGAGCCGAUGUCGGAUUAGCUAGUUGGCGGGGUAAAGGCCCACCAAGGCGACGAUCCGUAGCUGGUCUGAGAGGAUGAACAGCCAACCUGGAACUGAGACCCGGGCCAGACUCCUAGGGGGGGCCGAGGUGGGGAAUAUUGGAAAAUGGGCGGAAGCCUGAACCAGCCAUACCGCGUGGGUGAAGAAGGCCUUCGGGUUGUAAAACCCUUUUGUUGGGAAAAAAAAGCAGCAGGUUAAUACCCCGGUGUUCUGACGGUACCCAAAAAAUAAGCCGCGGCUAACUUCGU
rnacentral:rRNA from 1 species